AUUGAACGCUGGCGGCAUGCCUUACACAUGCAAGUCGAACGGUAACGCGGGGCAACCUGGCGACGAGUGGCGAACGGGUGAGUAAUGCAUCGGAACGUGCCCAGUAGUGGGGGAUAGCCCGGCGAAAGCCGGAUUAAUACCGCAUACGACCCUCGGGUGAAAGGGGGGGAUCGCAAGACCUCUCGCUAUUGGAGCGGCCGAUGUCAGAUUAGGUAGUUGGUGGGGUAAACGCCUACCAAGCCGACGAUCUGUAGCUGGUCUGAAAGGACGACCAGCCACACUGGGACUGAGACACGGCCCAGACUCCUACGGGAGGCAGCAGUGGGGAAUUUUGGACAAUGGGCGCAAGCCUGAUCCAGCCAUGCCGCGUGCGGGAAGAAGGCCUUCGGGUUGUAAACCGCUUUUGUCAGGGAAGAAACGCUUCGAGCUACUACCUCGGAGUAAUGACGGUACCUGAAGAAUAAGCACCGGCUAACUACGUGCCAGCAGCCGCCGUAA
rnacentral:rRNA from 1 species